rnacentral:rRNA from 1 species
UACGGAGGAUGCAAGCGUUAUCCGGAAUGAUUGGGCGUAAAGCGUCCGCAGGUGGCUGUGUAAGUCUGCUGUUAAAGAGUCUAGCUCAACUAGAUACAAGCAGUGGAAACUACACGGCUAGAGUACGUUCGGGGCAGAGGGAAUUCCAGGUGUAGCGGUGAAAUGCGUAGAUAUCUGGAGGAACACCGGUGGCGAAGGCGGCAUCCUGGACCGGCAUCGACGCUGAGGAGCGAAAGCUAGGGGAGCAAACGGG